rnacentral:lncRNA from 1 species
AUUAGGAUUUUAGUUAUGAUAGUCAUUUCCCAUUUUUAUAUAUGAUAAGAAAUUCAUUAUUCCUUUCUAUACACAUAAAUGCAAUCUUUUACAGUCAAAUAAACCUGGGUAAAAAUCGAAAGUGAGUAAUUAUCAGAAUAUUCUGCCUUCCUUCUGAAAUCAUUAUUUGAUUCCAUUCAGUCACCAAUGUUUACCCCUAAUUUUGCUAAUAUUUAAUAAAUCAUAUUUUAUUUCUUCUCUUUUUGAAAAACACAAUUGAGUAGCACUGUAUAAUAUAGUUGGAACCCUGAAGAAAUGUCUUUGUUUUUCAAUAUUUUCCUUGUAAAUUACAUGAAAAACAUAGUCUUUAUCCAAACUGUUUCAUUGGCUCAUAUUUUUAUAGAGCUCUUCCCCUUAGAAAAAUGGAAUGCUAAGUAUAAUUGCUGUUGUUUGUUGAUAAGACAGCUAUGAAAAUGUAUUUUGGGAAAAUGUAUCUAAUAUAAAUAUACAGUAUGAUAACUAUUAUGAUAUAGUGUUUAAGUACAUCAGGAGGACAUGAAUAUCUAAAGACUUGACUCUGGAAUAUUUCCCUUCUUGGGGUAUAUUACAUUUGUAAGAAAGAGAUAGAGUAGAAGAAUGGGGUUUGUUACAGCAGUGGCUUCUCCUGCACUGGCUAUGUCUGCAUCAGCAUUUCUUUUGUAGACCUCUAUUUUCAGGGGCUUUAGAGACUUGGUCAUAAAAAAUUGUGUCAAGAAUAAAAGUCUUGAAAGACAUUUUUUUCUUACAUGUUAUCUAAUUUUAAACAAAUAUAUUUUGGUUUUAUAUUACUGAAAGUAAAUUGAUGGAGUUUGUUAGUUUAAUUUUGUGCUAAUAUAAACUUUUAAUAAGCUUGAUUUUUAAUAAAAACAUAAAAUAUAAUUAGUUCAUAGUCUAAUUUUUUAAAUGAGUCAAAUAUUCUUGACAUUGAGAAAUUUGCUAGCUUGAUCAGCGUGGUACUUAUCUUCAAGAUGUUUUAAGACUUGGAUACAUGUUGUUAUCAUUACUCCAACAAGUGGAUCAGUAUGACUGACAAUAAAUAUAGGUAGAUGAUAUCUAUAUAGGCUAUCUAGUAACAUAUACAAUAUAUAUAUUGUAUAUAUAUAUAUGACACAUCAAGGGAAAGAAGCUCCUGUCAAUUAUCAAAUAAAUACCAUAUUUUUUUUAAGAAUUGCACAGACAUUUAACUUUCAGAGUCCAAAUGAGAUACAAACAAUUGCAGAGGAAAGUUGUCCCCUGGGUGAACAAAAACAUUAUCCAGCUUCCUAUGAAAAUCACCUUUCAUUUGUAUAGUGUAGAUAUUAGGAAUGAAAACAGUAAAAGGAAAGUGAGAUUUAUAAAAUAACAAUAGGCUGUGAAGCAGAGAGAAAGGCCAGGAAAUUAGGAUUUAGGACAUUUGACCCAUGGCUUCAGUUAGAGGGGGAUGAGAAAAUCUAACCUUCAGUUUUUAAGAGGCUUACUUUGUACUGGACAUUUUCUCACUAAAACUUUCAUUACAUGUAGUUUUCCAUGUAGAAGGCAUGAAAUGAAACGUUAUUUUCUCCAUGGAUUUUAUGGGUUGAAUGUGAUGAAUUUGCCUACACAGCAUUGCCUUUAUUCCAUAUUCAAUUUGGCAUAUAUUUUUUCCUGAUUUCUUCUACUGACAAACACAAAGCUUGUUUGUGUGCAAAUAAAAGGCUAAAUAAAAUGGUGCUAAAGUGUAUUAUGACUGUCAGAUAUAAUCAGGCAAAAUUUUGUGGUGCUUCAAUUAAUUUCUCAUUGAUUUUAUUGACCAGUGUGUUGAACAGCGUUUACUCACAAAUUGUGUUUUAUUAGUAAAAUUAAUGCUUCAUAGCACAUUGUUAACAGAAAGGUUGCCUAGAUUAUGUAAUAGCUCACCAAGCUAUUUUCUCCUUGACUCCUUAUAAUGAUGUGUCAUUAGAGGUCAAGGGCCAUGCUAUUAAUCUCAUUCUAUAGAUCAGUAACAUAACUGACCAUUUUUCACAUAGUACUUAUGUUUACAAUGCUAUAACCCUUUGACUGCUGUGGCAACCUUAACCAUACAACGGUCACAAUCUAGAAUCAUCAGCAUGGUUUGUGCCAUGGCAGUCAAAGAGUUAAGGGCUGUGCAGUUAUUUGUGUUGUAUUUAUUAAUUAUAUUUAUUUCAUUUCCAUUCAAGAAUGGGUUAGGGUGGGGCACUGUUUGUCUGCUGUAAGUGUCUUAACCUAGGGAAAGGUUAAAUGGCUUUUUAUACUGUUGCAUCUUCUGUAUUUACCAUCAAUUCAUUGUGUUGUAAUUAAAAAAUGUCAAUAAAUAAGAAAACUG